ACAAAGCGUGAAAUAUCUGCCCUCAACAGCAUCAUCAAAGUCACGGUCAAUUUCUGAAUCAACAUCCCCUGCUACACAGCUCUUUCCUGCGCUGCUGAUGGAUGAGCUCAAGGGACGGCGGAGUAGUCGAAGCACACAGCCCUAAACUCCUCAGGACUCCACAGUUGAAGCACAACACGUGAGGAGUAACUCGGUGAUACACGAAGAAAAAUCCCAACUGCAAAAUGGUAUAUCUGAACAAAAGAGAAGACCGAUUCUUCUGUACCUGAGACACAGCUUGUGCAGACCCACUAAAUGCAGCUGAAGAGACAACACUCACUGCUCCACCACCAUCAUCUCUCCCCUGCAGUUGGGGAUCGGCCACCUGAACUACACGGUUUUAAGAAUUCACGAGACUUAAACUGACUGGAAGAAACCAGGGCUUCUCCACUGUGAAGGGACCGCAAUGAGGAUUUAAAGCCACAAUUUUUAGUGCCCUUGAAUAAUAUUAAAAAUAUAAUCCAGACAUUGCCUGUAUAUAGUUAAAAAUGUUUGUCUCAUUACUUAAGUUCUGUUUAUGGAGUCCCAGGUUGCAUUAAUACAAACAAUAAAACACAAUUAUUUUUAUAAGUGAAGCCAUAUCUGAGUCACUGUUUUUGCGUUUAGCCUGAGAUCUUUAUUGAAAACACCGUCUGUCCUGCUCUGAUUUUCAUCAUCUCAUUCCGCAUUCCUUCAACAGCAAACACGCAAGAUAAUGAUCCUACCAUUAAACUAUAACGUCACUGACUCACAUGAGGAUGGAGCAGUUGUUCUUGUCCGCUGAAUAAAGUUGGGCAGCGAAUGAUCCAAAACCUGAAUAAACCUUUGUCAAACAUCACUCAAAACAGAAUUGUGUCCGAACUCCAGCAUAACCAUUCUGUGACCAUGUUUCAAAAGAUACCUAUUUUUAAAAUAAUAAUUAUUAAUAACAUUUUUUUUACAUCCUGAUGAUGUUAUUUGUCGUUGUGAUUGUUAUAAUUGCAGGAAUAAUUUGGUUCAUGCAAAGGUACGAUUAUUAUUUAAUGUGAACUUUGCCCUACAUUGGCGGAACCUUUGGUGUAUUGGUAAUGAUUACAUUUCGCGUACAAGCAGAGCUCUGUAUAAUUUUGUUGGUUAACAAAAACAUUUCUGAGAACGACAGUAGCUUGAGGGGAAUUAUUACAGCCACCGAUUUAUAAAUUUACAUGCAAUAAACCCGUCGACCUGCUUAGUGGACCUACCGUCUUCGAUGAUUUUAACAACGUGCUUCCACCAAUCAGCACUUCGGAGUGCAAUGUUUCUGGACUCCGAUUGGUUGAACUGGUAGGCGGUGACACUACUUCCGGUUUGUGUCUCACUGAAACGCUUCCGACCUCUCCUUGG